rnacentral:rRNA from 1 species
UACGGAGGGUGCAAACGUUGCUCGGAAUCAUUGGGCGUAAAGCGCACGUAGGCGGACCGCUAAGUCGGAUGUGAAAGCCCUCGGCUUAACCGAGGAAGUGCAUUCGAAACUGACGGUCUUGAGUAUGGAAGAGGGUCGCGGAAUUCCCGGUGUAGAGGUGAAAUUCGUAGAUAUCGGGAGGAACACCAGUGGCGAAGGCGGCGACCUGGGCCAAUACUGACGCUGAGGUGCGAAAGCGUGGGGAGCGAACCGG